rnacentral:rRNA from 1 species
AUUGAACGCUGGCGGCAGGCCUAACACAUGCAAGUCGAGCGGAGCGGCGGACGGGUGAGUUAUGCCUAGGAAUCUGCCUGGUAGUGGGGGAUAACGUCCGGCACCGUGCGCUAAUACCGCAUACUAUCAGAUGAUCCUAGGUCGGAUUAGCUAGUUGGUGGGGUAAAGGCCUACCAAGGCGACGAUCCGUAACUGGUCUGAGAGGAUGAUCAGUCACACUGGAACUGAGACACGGUCCAGACUCCUACGGGAGGCAGCAGUGGGGAAUAUGUGACAAGGGGCGAAAGCCUGAUCCAGCCAUGCCGCGUGUGUGAAGAAGGUCUUCGGAUUGUAAAGCACUUUAAGUUGGGAGGCGUUACCAUCAGAAUAAGCACCGGCUAACUUCGUGCCAGCCGCCGCGGUAAUUC